rnacentral:rRNA from 1 species
ACACGAUCGGAAAUGUGUGUCCAAGCAGCAAGUCUGAGGACGAGUGAAAUGCUUUUUCUCUCAAGGACAAGCUGUGAUGGGGAGCGAAAUUUAGUAGCAAAGUUCCUGAUGUCACACUGCCAAGAAAAGCUUCUAGUGAGAAAGUAACUGCCCGUACCGCAAACCGAUACAGGUAGUUGAGGAGAGAAUCCUAAGGUGUGCGAGAGAACUCUCGUUAAGGAACUCGGCAAAAUGACCCCGUAACUUCGGGAGAAGGGGUGCUGACCGCAAGGUCAGCCGCAGUGAAUAGGCCCAAGCGACUGUUUAUCAAAAACACAGGUCUCUGCAAAAUCGAAAGAUGACGUAUAGGGGCUGACGCCUGCCCGGUGCUGGAAGGUUAAGAGGAGAGGUUAGCGCAAGCGAAGCUUUGAAUUGAAGCCCCAGUAAACGGCGGCCGUAACGAUAACGGUCCUAAGGUAGCGAAAUUCCUUGUCGGGUAAGUUCCGACCCGCACGAAAGGCGUAACGAUUUGGGCACUGUCUCAACGAGAGACUCGGUGAAAUUAUAGUACCAGUGAAGAUGCUGGUUACCCGCGACAGGACGGAAAGACCCCAUGGAGCUUUACUGCAGUUUGAUAUUGCGUGUUUGUAUCACAUGUACAGGAUGGGUAGGAGCCGAAGAUACCGGGACGCCAGUCUCGGAGGAGGCAACGGUGGGAUACUACCCUUGUGAUAUGACCACUCUAACCCGCUGCUCUUAGCGAGCAGGGAGACAGUGUCAGACGGGCAGUUUGACUGGGGCGGUCGCCUCCAAAAAUGUAACGGAGGCGCCCAAAGGUUCCCUCAGAAUGGUUGGAAAUCAUUCGUAGAGUGUAAAGGCAGAAGGGAGCUUGACUGCGAGACCUACAAGUCGAGCAGGGACGAAAGUCGGGCUUAGUGAUCCGGUGGUUCCGCAUGGAAGGGCCAUCGCUCAACGGAUAAAAGCUACCCUGGGGAUAACAGGCUUAUCUCCCCCAAGAGUUCACAUCGACGGGGAGGUUUGGCACCUCGAUGUCGGCUCAUCGCAUCCUGGGGCUGUGGUCGGUCCCAAGGGUUGGGCUGUUCGCCCAUUAAAGCGGUACGCGAGCUGGGUUCAGAACGUCGUGAGACAGUUCGGUCCCUAUCCGUCGCGGGCGUUGGAAAUUUGAGAGGAGCUGUCCUUAGUACGAGAGGACCGGGAUGGACACACCGCUGGUGUACCAGUUGUUCUGCCAAGAGCAUCGCUGGGUAGCUAUGUGUGGACGGGAUAAACGCUGAAAGCAUCUAAGCGUGAAGCCCCCCUCAAGAUGAGAUUUCCCAUCACUUUAAGUGAGUAAGACCCCUGAGAGAUGAUCAGGUAGAUAGGUUGGGAGUGGAAGUACAGCGAUGUAUGGAGCGGACCAAUACUAAUCGGUCGAGGACUUAACU